rnacentral:rRNA from 1 species
UACGAAGGGAGCUAGCGUUGUUCGGAAUCACUGGGCGUAAAGCGCACGUAGGCGGAUGUGUCAGUCAGGGGUGAAAUCCCGGAGCUCAACUUCGGAACUGCCUUUGAUACAGCACGUCUUGAGUCCGAUAGAGGUGGGUGGAAUUCCUAGUGUAGAGGUGAAAUUCGUAGAUAUUAGGAAGGACACCGGUGGCGAAGGCGGCCCACUGGAUCGGUACUGACGCUGAGGUGCGAAAGCGUGGGGAGCGAACAGG